rnacentral:rRNA from 1 species
UACGGGGGGGGGCAAGCGUUGUUCGGAAUUACUGGGCGUAAAGGGCUUGUAGGCGGCCAACUAAGUCCGACGUGAAAUCCCCCAGGCUCAACCUGGGAACUGCGUCGGAUACUGGAUGGCUUGAAUUCGGGAGAGGGAUGCAGAAUUCCAGGUGUAGCGGUGAAAUGCGUAGAUAUCUGGAGGAAUACCGGUGGCGAAGGCGGCAUCCUGGACCGAGAUUGACGCUGAAAAGCGAAAGCCAGGGGAGCAAACGGG